UUUCGGUUUGAAAAAUGUUACUUCCGAUAAUAUUUGAAUAUUUAAUUGACACUGAUUCCAAAAAGAUCUGGUUCUAUAUACUUUUUUAUAAUAAAGUACAAAAAUAGCUACUUCCGGUUUACACAAGGUCACUUCCGGUUGUUUUUUUCAAGGUUAAAUGGUUUGAUACCUUUCGCCAAAAGUCUCAUGGAUAUAUCAUGUAUAAAUAUGAGCUGAAAGCAAAGGUCAAAAACUAGAACGUCAAAUUAAUCUAUGACCUUGAGAUCAAUUUCAAGGUCAUAAACCAAGGACCUCAAAUCAAAAAAC
rnacentral:lncRNA from 1 species